GCUCUAGGCGAUCAAGCCCAGAAGGCUCCUGCCCACCUUCGCUCCUAUCUGUGCCCUUGCUUGGCAGAGACCUGCUCCUCUGGACAGCGGCCCGCGGGGAUCGCAAAGAGAAAGGGAAACUAACUGACUGUAGAGAGACACGGGUACUGAGUGCGGUGAGGGUAGGACAGACGUCCCAAGAGUGGCCCCAGGCGUCUCCAUCCAACCGGCCUAGACCAACCUGUGCCCAGAGCUUGGAGCUAAAGCUGCCAGUUGAACCAAGGGUUUGACUCUGCAGACCUGUGUCUCUCGAGGGUGGCAGCGUGGAUCAGGAAAAUGAAGCACACGCACGCUUUUGGCUAUUGAAGUUCACCCAGCGUUCUCUGGAGGAAGACAUGCGCAAGGCAUCAACUGCAGGGUGCACGUGGUAAAGUGUCUUCAGCUGCGGUCCCCUGCUUGUGCUUAUAUAUACCCAGGAUUUCCUUUCAACAAAGGUGAGACUUGAGGCGAGGCUUGACUUGAGGAGAGACUUG